rnacentral:rRNA from 1 species
GACGAACGCUGGCGGCGUGCUUAACACAUGCAAGUCGAACGGAAAGGCCCUGCUUUUGUGGGGUGCUCGAGUGGCGAACGGGUGAGUAACACGUGAGUAACCUGCCCUUGACUUUGGGAUAACUUCAGGAAACUGGGGCUAAUACCGGAUAGGAGCUCCUGCUGCAUGGUGGGGGUUGGAAAGUUUCGGCGGUUGGGGAUGGACUCGCGGCUUAUCAGCUUGUUGGUGGGGUAGUGGCUUACCAAGGCUUUGACGGGUAGCCGGCCUGAGAGGGUGACCGGCCACAUUGGGACUGAGAUACGGCCCAGACUCCUACGGGAGGCAGCAGUGGGGAAUAUUGCACAAUGGGCGGAAGCCUGAUGCAGCAACGCCGCGUGCGGGAUGACGGCCUUCGGGUUGUAAACCGCUUUCGCCUGUGACGAAGCGUGAGUGACGGUAAUGGGUAAAGAAGCACCGGCUAACUACGUGCCAGCAGCCGCGGUGAUACGUAGGGUGCGAGCGUUGUCCGGAUUUAUUGGGCGUAAAGGGCUCGUAGGUGGUUGAUCGCGUCGGAAGUGUAAUCUUGGGGCUUAACCCUGAGCGUGCUUUCGAUACGGGUUGACUUGAGGAAAGUAAGGGAGAAUGGAAUUCCUGGUGGAGCGGUGGAAUGCGCAGAUAUCAGGAGGAACACCAGUGGCGAAGGCGGUUCUCUGGGCCUUUCCUGACGCUGAGGAGCGAAAGCGUGGGGAGCGAACAGGCUUAGAUACCCUGGUAGUCCACGCUGUAAACGGUGGGUACUAGGUGUGGGGUCCAUUCCACGGGUUCCGUGCCGUAGCUAACGCUUUAAGUACCCCGCCUGGGGAGUACGGCCGCAAGGCUAAAACUCAAAGGAAUUGACGGGGCCCCGCACAAGCGGCGGAGCAUGCGGAUUAAUUCGAUGCAACGCGUAGAACCUUACCUGGGUUUGACAUGGAUCGGGAGCGCUCAGAGAUGGGUGUGCCUCUUUUGGGGUCGGUUCACAGGUGGUGCAUGGCUGUCGUCAGCUCGUGUCGUGAGAUGUUGGGUUAAGUCCCGCAACGAGCGCAACCCUUGUUCACUGUUGCCAGCACGUUAUGGUGGGGACUCAGUGGAGACCGCCGGGGUCAACUCGGAGGAAGGUGGGGAUGACGUCAAGUCAUCAUGCCCCUUAUGUCCAGGGCUUCACGCAUGCUACAAUGGCUGGUACAGAGAGUGGCGAGCCUGUGAGGGUGAGCGAAUCUCGGAAAGCCGGUCUCAGUUCGGAUUGGGGUCUGCAACUCGACCUCAUGAAGUCGGAGUCGCUAGUAAUCGCAGAUCAGCAACGCUGCGGUGGAUACGUUCCCGGGGCU